rnacentral:rRNA from 1 species
CAAACUGGGAUUAGAUACCCCACUAUGCUUAGCCUUAAACCCAGAUGUAUUAUUACACACACAUCCGCCCGGGUACUACGAGCACAGCUUAAAACCCAAAGGACUUGGCGGUGUCUCAGACCCACCUAGAGGAGCCUGUUCUAUAACCGAUAAUCCCCGUUAAACCUCACCACUUCUUGUUAAUCCCGCCUAUAUACCGCCGUCGUCAGCUUACCCCGUGAAGGGCCUAACAGUAAGCAAAAUGGGCCCACCCAAAAACGUCAGGUCGAGGUGUAGCGUACGAAGUGGGAAGAAAUGGGCUACAUUUUCUACAACUAGAAUAUUAAACGAAUGGCACUAUGAAAAUUAUUGCCUGAAGGUGGAUUUAGUAGUAAAAAGCAAACAGAGUGUCCUUUUGAAUUAGGCUCUGAGACGCGCACACACCGCCCGUCAC